ACACAACAAAGGUUGAUUUGUAAGAUCCAUUUUGAAUAGACGAAAACAUUUUAUAUAGUUUGUCUGCUCUCCAGCUGUUCUGCCCUGGUGUUUUCCUGUGAAGGAUCAGGGCAGAGAGGAUUCUGGGUAAGCAGGUAGACUGAUCUCACACGCCAAUGACUCAAGCACCUCCAACUGUACAGCAGUGAAGCUGCUGGGAGUCUCCGGGUGGAUCCUGCUGCUCCCAGAGAGAGAACACAACAGAACCGGAGAACGUCCCCAGAGGUGGAUCUAAGGAGCGUGUUGAGCUGCUGUGAGUCUGAAGUACAGGACACUCACGCCCAGAGUCCUUCCUCGGCGUACAUCUUGGGGGCACAUUCUCUCAGGGUGUUGGCAUAGCCCGGCUGAGUCU